rnacentral:rRNA from 1 species
UACGUAGGGGGCAAACGUUUGUCCGGAUUUAUUGGGCGUAAAGAGCGUGUAGGCGGCCAGACAGGUCCGUUGUGAAAACUCGAGGCUCAACCUCGAGACGUCGAUGGAAACCGUCUGGCUAGAGUCCGGAAGAGGAGAGUGGAAUUCCUGGUGUAGCGGUGAAAUGCGCAGAUAUCAGGAAGAACACCCGUGGCGAAGGCGGCUCUCUGGGACGGUACUGACGCUGAGACGCGAAAGCGUGGGGAGCGAACAGG